GACCAUUCCUAUGGAACGGUUAUUUCAAUGAGUUGAUCAUAAACCUUUUUUGGAGGAUCAAGUGGAGGGCAACUCUGGUGCCAGCACCCGCGGUAAUUCCAGCUCCACUAGUGUAAAUCGUCAAAACUGCGGUUAAAAACCUCGUAGUUGGAUGUGAGUCGCAUGCAAUGGUUCGCCUUGGGCGUUAAUCAUUGUUGUGACUAUUUGCUGGUUUUCUAUUGAAAUUUCGAUUUCGUGAGUGCCUAGCGAGUUCUCUUUGAAUAAAUGAGAGCGCUCAGAACAAGCAUUUGCUUGAAU
rnacentral:rRNA from 1 species